CAAUCAUUCACACCUGUUAAAUGGAAAGCCAGGAAAACACGGGUAAACUUCGUUUCUUUGACCAUUUGGAUUCCCUGUUCGCCUUUAAACAACGCAGGGGAAAUACUUAAAGUGGCUUGACAGAGCACCUGGUGUGAGCGGAGCUGGAAAUCCUUAUUGAUUACUGCUUUACGUAAGUGGUCUCUGGCUGUAUGGCUUCCUCGCUGUAUCCUCUCCCGGACUGCAAGAGGGCAACAAAAGUAGAGAUGAAAAUCCAGAGGGAGAGACUCACCUGCAUCCCAAGAACUUUACAGAACACCCUCCAGAACUGGGAGAUGAACUGUGGCCUUCUUUCAGAGACGAUGUCAACAGGAAGUCUGUGUAGGCGAAACAUCUUUCAGGACAGGAUCUUUUCCAAUUCUUUGGAGGAGGGGAGCUCGAUGAGUGGAACCAGGUGAGUCGUCUUGGAGAGGCCAUCUUGUUUCUCUACUAUGGUGGCGAUGGUGGUAGGUGGUUUGAUCCCACUGCCUCUGUCAUCUUAUCCAAGGGCAAGACACUUCACCUGCUGGUGGGGGUCAAAGGUGAAUCUGUGCAUGAAUGGGUGAAUGUCUGAAUGUCGUAUGAAGCGCUUUGGUUUGUUUUUUUGAACUUCUCCAGCUUCACUUCAAGACCUAAAUGACACAACAGGGCAAUGGUUCCAAACAGAAUAAAUAAAAUAGAUAAAAGAAGCAAACCUCAUUGAAUGUUGACUAGACCUGACCUCAACCCUGUUGAAUAUGUAUCAGUUAUACCUACAUGCACUGUCUGCACAAGGAAACCAACCAAUUUAAGUAAGCAUGACUAUUUGUGGUGAAAGGAGAGGUUUCUUUGACAUUUUACUUGUUGGAAAUAAAAAAAGAUUUAAUUUCAAAUAGCUAUUCAGAAUGUUGCUAAUGACCCUGUCAUUAUCUAGGUAGGAAUCCAGGCUUCUAAGUAGAAAAUUGUCUGUCCAGAAAAAAAACCUAAUAAAAAUUACAGUGCAGCCUCUUUAAAGUUUUUAUUGGUCUAAUAAGACACCGGCAGCAUUGAAAUUUGUAUUUUA